GAGGAAUAUUGCGCAAUGGGGGAAACCCUGACGCAGCGACGCCGCGUGGAUGAUGAAGGCCUUUGGGUCGUAAAAUCCUGUCAGGUGGGAAGAAGUGUAUGUGGGUUAAUAUCUCAUGUAUUUGACGGUACCA
rnacentral:rRNA from 1 species